UUGGGAUGGGCUUCGUCUAGGUUAGGGAAUUAGGGGAGGCGUCGAUUGAUUAAAAAAAACAACCUCGCCGUCGACUUCUUCCAGAUCCUUUCGUCUGGGGCGAUUCUUAUUCCGGCGUCUCAUCUCUGUAAUGCCCUAUAUUUAUGAUUUAAUUUCUGAAACAGACGUUUCUGUUCUUCUUCUUCUUCAUUUUCUGAACCGUCUUCAUCAUCUCCACUCCCUACCAAGCGAUCUAAGGUCAAGAUCAAUGUCGCUAUUGAAUCUGCGGCGGCGGCGGAACCGGUUUCGGAUCAAUCACAAGACAAUCUACUCUCGAUCAAUUCAUCGCAAGAGCCGACCUCAAGCCUCCUCCGCCGGAUCCCCAAGUUGUUUCCGACCCUGUGGUAAUAACGACAGCGUCGGGAUCGAUCCCGAGACAGCUAAAACUUGGAUUUAUCCAGUAAACGUUCCUCUGAGAGAUUACCAAGACUUUGAUUUGCUAUAACACAUUAGUUGCCUUACCAACAAGACUUGUAAAACCCUCACAACUGCAGUUGUUAUGUAUAUUUACUUCAGAUGGUUUCCAAAAGGUUAAAUAUCAAACCCACUUUUAUGUGUCCAUCUCUAUUAGAACCCAUCCUUGUCACUUACCCAGAAUCUUCAGCAGAAGCCACGAGCUUCAGUGGCAGCACCAAGCCAACGUUAGGAUCAGCAGCUUAUGCGCUCUCCGAUCAAGCUCAUCCUCGCUUCUCAGAUGUCUACGAAUUCGAUCGAGAGAAACAAAGACAGUGACAAGAGACUGUAAGCCGCCACGUGGAAGAACUCAGAAGUGCCUCUCCAGAUGGUUCUUCAUCUCCAGCACAGUGAAUCGCAUCCUCUACUGGCUCUAGCUUCUCUCCGCAACGGCUUGUGUGGCUUUGUCGUCUUACAAGCUGGUGUAGUCAACGCGCUGAUCCAACACCAGUGGCGUCCAAAGUCGUUUAUCACGGUUUCUGGAGAGGUUGACUCUAGGGCGAUCGAGAAGAGUGCCAAGAUUGGGUUGGGAUGUGAUUAAUCGCAACCUUCUCUUCCUUGUGGAUCUGCGUGCUUAUUGCAUUUUGAGAUAAAUGGGGCCUAUCACAUACUACUAAUGUAUCUUCUCGCUGAAUUCUCCCUCUUUCAGCUGUGUGAAUAUCAAAGUAAUCACAUAAAAUUCAUCUCUGUAUUAUUACUCCUCUGUGUGUUGUAUAUAAAUCCAUAGGUUGAAGGAAAAAGCGAGCGUGUACUCAAAUUCCUCAAAUCGGAGAAGGUUGAGCUGGAGGCAUGACUCAGCAAGGAGAAUAUAUAAACUCUGCAACUAAAGGAAGAGUUAAAAGAGACUGAUAUGCGAAACACAGAGUUAUACAAGGAACUUCACUCUGUGCGGAGUCAACUUGCAGCGGAACAGUCGAGGUGUUUCAAAUUAGAGCUUGAGGUUGCAGAGGUAAGAUAAAAUCUUCAGACAAUGGAAACACUUGAAAAGGAACUGAAACUCCUCCACCUUUAAAGAGAGGUUGCGUCUGAACAAGCCACCGCCAAUAUGAAUUUCUAUGAUUCUUCAAAGAUAAUUUAAAAACACGUGUAUUGUUCUCUAUCUCUGAGCCGACAACAACCAUAGAGUUCUGUCUCUUCAAUAUCAUCUCCGUUAAACUCAUUGCAAGGAUCACAAGUCUUCAUCUUCUAAGAUUUUGUUGAAAAUGCCGAGCAAGUGCGAAAUCUUGUGCGAGAUCUUGAUCGCAGUCCUUCUUCCUCCUCUAGGAGUUUGCCUCAGCCGUGGCUGUUGCACUGUGGAGUUCUUGAUUUGCUUGGUCCUGAUUAUCGUAGGAUACGUACCAGGCAUAAUCUAUGCGCUUUACGUGAUUGUUUUCAAGAAACAAGAAGAGUAUUUCAAUGAAGCCAGAAUUUGUUUUUCUUUGAGAACUUUUCACUCUUUGUACCAAAUAAGUUGUUUUUAUUUAAUGUGUUGAAAGAGGUUUGUAAACUUUUUUUGUUCAAUUGUUCCUUCUUUUAGGUUAUAUUCACAUAGAUUAUGUUGAUGCAUAUGUUAUCUCCAUAGAUCAUGGAAGAAAGGAACGUAUGCAUCUUGGCUUCUCUCAUUCUAUCCCAUGUGACUUUUGUAUGGAUACCAACAUAUAUACAUACAGAAUUACAUUCU